rnacentral:rRNA from 1 species
CGAGUGGCGAACGGGUGAGUAACACGUGGGUAAUCUGCCCUGCACUCUGGGAUAAGCCUGGGAAACUGGGUCUAAUACUGGAUAUGACCUUUCUCCUUAUGGGGUUUGGUGGAAAGUUUUCGGUGUAGGAUGAGCCCGCGGCCUAUCAGCUUGUUGGUGGGGUGAUGGCCUACCAAGGCGACGACGGGUAGCCGGCUUGAGAGGGUGAUCGGCCACAUUGGGACUGAGAUACGGCUCAG